rnacentral:rRNA from 1 species
UGCUCAUAUCGAGACCUCAGGUCAGGCGGGGUUACCCGCUGAGUUUAAGCAUAUCAAUA